rnacentral:lncRNA from 1 species
GGGUCACGGGCAUCAGCGGUCCAGGGAAGGAAGCAAAGCAAAUGGAGAAUGGCAUGCUGGUGACAGACAGUGCGGGGAAGCAACUACAGAAACAGCUCAGCAGUUCCUCCUCCUAUAGUGGGGACAUCAGCAGGCACCACAGCAGUACCGCAGAGCUGCAGAAAGCCGAAGCCAAGAAGAAGACUUGGAAGCUGAUGGAGGCUGAGAAGGCACAGACAGGGCAGCAACAAGCAACAAAGAAGGCUUUUGUGACCAAAUGUGUGGAGAGGUUUUCCCCACCAACAAGCAAGCAAUCACUUCUGCAGAUGACACAAACUGGGUGUCAUUUAAUUCAGUUCUCACACUGUCUGCAGAUAGCAUCAGACUGCACAGAGUUUGCAGAGUGA